rnacentral:lncRNA from 1 species
GCACAUGUUUCCUGGGACAUAUGUUGAAGAAUGGGCACAUGCCUGAGCCCAGUCUGCUUACUGUGGACUCUAGAACUGCCAAGUGAUAUAGCAUGUGGGAAGAAGAGUGGCCAUCUUAGCCACAGGUGUUAGCAAUGUCAAGGGAACAGCACUGAGCUUGAGAUUUUAAAUGUUUGGCACAGAAGUAGAAAUGUUAAACCUUGUCAAAAGAAAGAAAGCAAGUAAAUGAAAGCUAAAGCCUUGUUUCUUGUGCUUGUGAAGGUAGAUCCUCACUUACUGGAAGAGUGUAACGUGUUUCCAAUGUGCUUGUUUCCAAUGUGCUCAGAGUCCUAACUCUUAGGUUCCAUCUCAUGAGAAUAGUUGGAUACCAGGUCUUGGGCAAUGUUAGUUUGCAGGUGUGAGCUCAGCCUGUACAUCUUAGACUCUAACCUCUGGUUGGUGAAGAAGCCAGAGCACUUAGCAAGCUGCAGUCAGAGGCUAUGAGGGAACAGCUUUGAGAAGCACAGUGAAAGCCAGCGUGUGUGUGUGUGUGUGUGUGUGUGUGUGUGCUCUCGCUUACAGGGGUAGGAAGCGUCCUGAGUGUUUCCAAAUGAAGCCUGGAGGACCCCAUCAGUCAGCAGUGACUUCUGUUCUCUGCUUUCAGUUAUUUGCUCUUCUUUGUGGUGCAGAAAUUCUAAAUAAAAUAUUCAUAAAUAAGCAAUGGCUUAUUUAUUGCUGCCACAAUCAUUCUAUUACACUAUUGUUCUUUUUACCGUCUUACUGUGUUAGGUUUAUAAGUUACAUAUUGGCGUUGUUACAUAUGUAAAGGUUUGAGUGCUCCUUAGGGUCUUACAUUUCAGGACUCUUAGUCUUGUGUUUGGGGUUCAUUUUUUAAUUCUUUCUUAGGUUUAUUUUAUGUGUAAGAGUAGUUUUGCUUGCAUGUAUGUAUGUGCAGUAUAUGUAUGUAGUGACCUCAGUGUUCAUAAGACAGAGUUGGAUUUCCUAGAAAUGGAUGCUUGUAAGCCACCCUGUGGGUCCUGACAACUGAACCUGGGUUUUCUGCAAGAGCAACAAAUGCUUUUAACUGCUGAGCCAAAUCUCCUGUCCAUUUUGGAUUUUGUUGGCAGUUCCGAUUCUGUUGUUCUGUUGUUGCAGUGCUGGAAUCCAGCCCACAGCUUUGUGCUCUGUCGCUGGGCUGCUUCCGGCAUCAGGGUCCACUGUUAUAAUGUAUAAACAUAUAUAGUUAGCAUAAAGGCAAUUUGAUAUAACAUUUCUAGUGAGUUUUGACUGCAGUGUUUCACAUGAGGUCAGAGAGAAUUUUCAAAUUAUGUCAGUAUUCAGUGUUUCAGAUUUUGAAUCAUUUAAAUCAUUUCAAAUUUCAUAUAUUCAAGUUAGGAAUCAUAUCAUUUCUAUGAGGUACAGGUAUCUAUGGGGUUUAUAUUAUAUGAGGAUUCAUCCAAGCACCUUCUUAAAACAGGUACAAAGUGAUUGCUGUGUUGUAGAUGAGGGGUUAACAUGUUUAGACGGUGAAUAGCCUUCCAUGGAUAUUGAUGAGAUCUGCUCAGGUUGCCGUCUGUAAUUGUAGCUGCUCAUAAAUCUAUACGGUUACGUUUUCCACAUCUUUCCUGUAAAGGACUCUAUUCCCCUCUAAAUCCUAUUCAUUUGUUUGGCCACACCCAGGACCACAUUGUAUCUGCCACCAAAAUUCUGAUAAAGUAUUUCAUGGCUAGCAACAGAGUUUUGAAGGAGCACGGGAACAGCUCAGCCUUUUUGCUCUGUUUCCUGGGAUCGUUAAAGCGAGGUUAAAGUUGAGAUGAGCUGAUUCGUGUGAAGUACCUGUUUUGUCAAGGCCUAUGGAAGGAGCAUCCUAGGAACUGGUUGGUGACUGUGGUUUGGUCUGUUGGUGUGGAACUCUAGUGGGCAAGACACCAUCCCCAUCUCUAAGGAACUUCUGGUUCCCUCAGAGAGACACUAUAGACAGUAAAGCAUUUCUAUAGCAGUAAGGUCAAUGCUGGGAAACACCCAGCCGUCCUGGCUGACCCUAGGCAGUGCAUGUAAGCUUUGCCAGCGGCAAGCUGCUAGCAUGCUCUCCCAAAUGCCCCUUUAACUUGGCCCUUCCAUGCUUCUUCAACCAUUGAGGAUUCAAGAAAAGAUUAAAAUUUUGCUUUCAAGGGAAAAAAAUCUCCCUUCACUCUGACAUAAAAAUCCCAAUAGCUAAGGAAAAAAAAAGAUCUUAAAGAUAAACUCAUGACAAGAGUUUUCACAUUUUUUUUUAAAUUCUGUUGCUUCAAAUUAGGAAAUUGUAGCUCCAUUCAGUAAGUCUGCAAGGCUAUUUAAUAUCAUUAGACAUUCCACUGUCUGGGGAACUUUCUAAUCCUUCUGAUACACUGAUGUUUCAAGACUGACUGUGGUGGCUUCUGUUGUUGCUAUCAUGGUCUCAGUGCCGCCCUGUGCUGUAAGGAGGAAGGAUAGCAACCCCAAGUACACAGACGAGCAAGAAUGUACCUGAGCAGUGUGACUUCAAGAUCAGACAGUCUCAAGUCCUCCCUCAUUUGCAAAAGUCCUCAAGAAAAGCAACUACAGCUUGCCCUAAGAGAGUGCAGAUAGAGAAAUUUGACAAAAUUUAAAAACACUUUGAAUUUAAAAGGCAAAAUUCAGUGAGUUUUCAGAAAUACUUCAGAACUACAAGAGACAAUAUAUCUAACAAACCAAGGAAACUAGAAGCCCUGGAGCAAGGGCAAGAAAUUGAGUUUUAGUCUUGGCUUCGCCAAAACCACUAAUGGGCUUUGGCCUGCGCAAGCUGCAAGUGGGUAUCUAAUCUGGACAGAGUAGAUCUAGGCACACCUACCCUUCCAGCCACCUCCAGUCCUUGGUGCUUGGGUGCAAACAGAUGGUGUCAACCCUCCCAACCUGGCAGCUGCAUUUGUUUGUUUAGCAAAUGUUUACAAGGUGUCUGCUUCCUGCACUUCCUGCCCUUACAGGAGUGAGGUGCACCGUAGUGGUUAGAGACCCUGAAGCAGGGUCUCCUCUGACUCUCUCUCCUCAGACCUUCAAGCUUCCCUUUAACUGUAAAUGGGAUGCUCUUGCCACCUUUAUCAGGGACCUUAGCUGUCCCCUCACCCAGAGACCUCUCUAUAUUCAGCUUUGUUAACCGCUUGACAGUUCAGCUCCACGCAGAAAUACCGGUCAGACGGACUGACUGACAAGUGAUACCGAGGGUUGGACUUAAUUUUGCAGUGAGGUUUUUACCUGCCUCUUAGAGAAGUCUUUUACCGUGCAGUCUCCAGGAGGGAAUUUCCAAGCUCUCUGUAGUGGAUGAGUCUAUCUCAGCCUGACACAUCUGCAGCCAGCUUUUAAAAGACAAGUUAGUCCUUUCAGAUUAAUUUGAGCAUUUCCCUUGACAAGCCACAGUUUCUGGUAACUUCAGUUGGGUAAUCUGGCUUUCUUGGUUGGUUGGUAGGAGAGUUUCUUAUGAAGCCCCUGUUCCUUGCUGCUCUGCCUAGUUGUCCUGGCAAUAGCCAUCAACUUGAAAUCACAGGAAGUAAAAGGUCUUAUUUAUAAUUAUUAUUACC